GGGAAUCAUGAAAGCAAGCACCACUGAUUAUCAGAGCCAUAUGAUCUGGGGAUCUAACCUCAGGCAGCAGUCCGUACACUGGGAUGCAAACAUGUGUUUGAACUCCUUCUAGGGAGAUGCUGGCAACUGGGAGCAAACUAAUGGGGGACAACAGAUAAACUUGCUUCUGAAGCAUGUAGCUUUCUUUUGUGAUAGCCUCGUAAAAGGCCAACUCCCUUCUGUGUUUCUCUAAUGCUGUUAUACUCUGUGAAGCUGGACCUGGGGCAGUUCCAUCAGUUGCUCAGUGGCCUGGACUGGACUUUCACUGGCACUUUGGAAGAAGCUUAUCAACAUGGUUUUAGAAAGGGGCAAUGUUAUCAUGCUGUUUCAGUUCCUUUGCUCUUGAAGGUGGGGAAUUCAUGACAGAAACCAGUCUAAAUCAAGGUCAUUACAUUUUCACUUUACUAGUCUUGCCAAGUCUUUUCUACUUGCGGAGUUCUCACACCAAGGAAUUCUUCUGAAUGAUGAAUAAAGCUUUUAUUUGCUUUUCCCAUAACAUACCUCCAAGUAACCCUCUAAUUAUCUCAUUUCCUUCCCCAGUGAACAACCUGUUCAUAAUUAGUGCUAAUAAUUUUAUUUUGGAAAGAUUUACUUAUCUUUUGCUUAUACAUGAGUAUUGCACAAAAAUAUUGGGAAGUGAUUUCCUAUGGAUUCAUCAAGGGAGAUGGUAAUCAGAGUGCUUUAGGGUUUUAGAUACCUCUGAUAUCAUAAAUAUCAGAUAUUGUAUCUGAAUAUUGUAUUCUCAGGACAGUUUAUGCUUUUAUCUCAAUGUAAAAGAUAGUUGCAGUUUAAGUUUGUGAUUUAUUGCCAUAGACAUUUUUUAAUUAGGUGAAAAAUGGAAUGAUAUACUGAUUUUUUUAACAGUUCACGACACUUAAAUCUAUUAAAGAAAGUGAUCAUAUUAAUACAGGGGUUUUAUGCCU